GACGAACCGUGCGAACGUUGUUCGGAUUCACUGGGCUUAAAGGGCGCGUAGGCGGGCGACCAAGUCAGGGGUGAAAUCUUUCGGCCCAACCGGAAAAGUGCCCCUGAUACUGGCCGCCUCGAGGGGGGUAGGGGCAUGCGGAACUUACCGGUGGAGCGGUGAAAUGCGUAGAUAUCGGAAGGAACGCCGGUGGCGAAAGCGGCGUGCUGGACCCCUUCUGACGCUGAGGCGCGAAAGCCAGGGGAGCAAACGGG
rnacentral:rRNA from 1 species